UACGUAGGGGGCAAGCGUUGUCCGGAUUUAUUGGGCGUAAAGAGCGUGUAGGCGGCCAUACAGGUCAGCUGUGAAAACUCGAGGCUCAACCUCGAGACGUCGGUUGAAACCGUAUGGCUAGAGUCCGGAAGAGGAGAGUGGAAUUCCCGGUGUAGCGGUGAAAUGCGCAGAUAUCAGGAGGAACACCGGUGGCGAAGGCGGGUCUCUGGGCCGAUACUGGCGCUGAGGAGCGAAAGCGUGGGGAGCGAACAGG
rnacentral:rRNA from 1 species